rnacentral:lncRNA from 1 species
AUGCUGGGAGUUGUAGUCUCUUCACUGCUCCCGCCCGUUGUUUCAGGCACUUCGGGACUACAAUCCCAGCAUGACCCGGGCUCGGGGACGGGGCGCAGUUCUCGUGGGAGGAGCGGGGCGGUGAGAGCCUGGCUAGGCAGGCUGGAAACAGUAGCUCUUAACGGUCCCCCGCCCGUUGGUGGCAAGGCGGCUGGACUGGAAUCCCAGCAGGCGACAUGCGAGGAGGCGGGCAGCCCAGGAGGAGGGUUGGACACGGCAAUGUGGACCUCGCCGCUUCCACAACGAUGCUGGCUACUGAUCGCGUGCACUUCCUUGCCAAGGAAAGUUCGAGACUAUGGUUAGGUGGUGAGGAAGGCAGGCUCAGCACCCAAGCCUUGGGGAGAUGCAGAAAGGGCCCAUCCCAGGCACUCAGGUGGAGGUAAGCAUAGCCUUUGGGCCAUAAGACCUCAUGGCCACUGGGGUGCUGGUCUGGAAACAAGUCCUCAUCUUCCCAGAAAUGUCAUCUUUUGUCUGCAGCAGCUGGCUGGAGAAAGAUUUCAGAAAGGUGUGUGCCUGGGGCACCCAAAGGCAUGACCUUCCUUUCUCCUUGGCAUAGGCCUUACAACACUGAGGAAAGGCCAUGGUUUGGCAAUGGAGCCUUCAAUAGUUUUCACCCCUAUGGAUUGAAAAGAUUGUCCAAAUAGAAGCUUAUAUAGGAUGUUAAAAAGUAAACUGACAGGACUAUGAAAAUUGUCUCCCAACAGAGUUCAACUUUUUUUUUUUUUCUGAGAAAAAACUCCAGGAUGGAGUACAGUGGUGUGAUCUUGGCUCACUGUAACCUCCACCUCCGGGGUUCAAGUGAUUCUUCUAUCUCAGCCACUAGAGUAGUUGGGACUACAGGUGCGUGCCACCAUGCUUGGCUAAUUUUUUGUAUUUUUAGUAGAGACAGGGUUUCACCAUGUUGUCUAGGAUGGUCUCAAUCUCCUGACCUUGUGAUCCGCCUGCGUCUGCCUCCCAAAGUGCUGGGAUUACAGGCGUGAGCCACUGUGCCUGGCCCAUUUUUUAAAAAAUACAGAAAUAUUGGUAAAACCAUUAUCAAAAACAUUGUGGAGCUUUCUAAAAACUUACAAUACCACAUUAUCCAGCAAAUCCACUUCCAGAUAUAUAACCAAAGGAAAUAAAACUAGUAUCUAGAAGAGACAUCUGUGCUCCCAUAUUUAUUGCAGAAUUAUUUACAAUGACAGAUGUGCAAACAACCUAAGUAUUAAUAAAUGAAUGGAUAAAAUAAUUGUGGAGUAUUUAUAUAAUGGAAUAUCAUUCAGCCAUAAAAAGAAAAUCCUGUUAUUUACAACUAUAUGAAUGAACCUGGAGAAGAGUAGGCUGAGUGAAAUAAGCCAGACAGAGAACGAGAAAUAUUGUUUGAUUUCAGUUAUAUAUGAAGCCUAGAAAGUUAAAGUCAUAGAAACAGAGAGUACAAAGUGGUUCCCAGGAGCUGGUGGGUGAGAGAAAUGGGGGGUUGUUAAUAAAAAGUGCAAACUUUCAGGUAUAAAAUAAACAAGUUCUAGUGGUCUACUGCACAGCAUGGAUGUUACUGAAUGUUAUCUUAGUCUGUUCCAACUGCUGUAAUAAAAUACCUUAGAGUAGAUAAUUUAUAAGCAGUAUAAACUGAGUUCUCACAGUUAUGGAGGCUGAGAAGUCCAAGCUCAAGGCACCAGCAGGCUAGGUGUCUGGUGAGGGUCCAGUCUCUGGUUUCAAGAUGGCACCUUAAAUUGCUGUGUCCUCACACAGCAGAAGGACAAAAUAGGCCAAACUCAUUUUCUCAAGCCGUUUUACAAUGACAGCUAAUUGCGUCGUUAAGGGCAGAUUUUUCAUGCCGUAGCAACCAAGUAAAGUCUAAUACUAUUGUAUUGAGGAUUAAGUUUUAAAGUAAAUUUGGGAGGGACACAAAUAUUUGAACAAUAGGAAUUAUGUUAAUUUAACUGAUUGUGAAAAUGAUUAGACAAUGUGUGCAUGUAUCAAGUCAUCGCAUUGCACACCUUGAAUAUACUCAAGCCUCACUUGUCAGUUAACAUUUUUAAAUUAAUAAAAUAAAAUAAAAUGUGGAAGUAAUUUAUCCUUUGAGCAAUAAAAAAGUCUACUGAAGAUUUUUUAACACCAGCACUACUUUGGCUGUUUGGUGUUGUGAGAUUGCUAAAAACUGAAAAAUGCAGAAAGAAAUGGAAAGAAUCACACACAGUCUUCACAAAAAAGUCAGCUCUGAGUGUGAGGUGGUGUUAAUCUGGGUGAGGCAAUGACAAGUGAGGGCAAAUUAAAAUAACCCUAAGACAAGAUUUUCAGAAUAAAUUAAAUUUUGUUAGCUUACUGGAAAAAAUUACAUUACUAGCCAUGUAACAAACCUAUUUUGUAUAGGUGGUGAAACCAAAUUUUAAGUAUAAAUUAUGAUGUAUUAAAAAUCAAAAAGAAUAUUUUUGUGGUCUUAGAAAAAAAUUACUAAAUGAACAAGUAAGCAGAAUAUACAACAUUUUCAAAUACUAAAGAAAAAAAUCAUUGAAAAUUGCAGGAUUUUAGGCUCCAAAAGACUCACUAAUUUAAUAGAAGCAGAAAUCCUACAGCUAGAAAAUUUGCAGAUAGAAAAUAUAUUUUUCAGCUUGGAAAUCAAAAUAGAAACUACAAAUUCAAGUGUAACCAACAAAUAAUAUAUACCUACAUAUCGUGUAACUUUUUGUUGAAAAAAGACAUUUCGAAUAUUAUAAUAUAGUAAUUUUGAAAUCAGAUUAUCAUCCUUCUUCUGUGUUUUUGUUGCUACCUAUUGUGAUGUGUGCUCUGUCAUGCAUGUACAUUGACAUCUCUGUUCCAUCAGCUUGGUAGUAAGCUACUGAUUUGCAGAGAUUUUCUUAAAUGUUUGUUAUUUCCCCACUUCCUCCAAAUAAAUUUUAUAAUGUUCUCUUUUGGGUGCGUGUGUGUGUGUGUGUGUGUGUGUGUGUGUGUGUGUGUGUGUGCUGGAGCAUGCCUUUACUAAUCAGCCAGAAAUUUACAACUUGGUUCUUGCCUUACUUUCUGCUGAUACAGAGUUUGAAGGUCAAACAAGGGUGAAUACUGAGGGUCUUCCUGGGAUUUUUUCUUCUCUUUUCUUUUUUUUUUUUUUUUUUUUUUGAGAUGGAGUUUCACUCUUGCUGCCCAGGCUGGAGUGCAAUGGCGCAACCUCAACUCACCACAAACUCUGC